rnacentral:rRNA from 1 species
CCGUAAGGCGCCGAAUGAGUCAUUAAAAAAAUUAACAUCAUCCGAUCCCCUAGUCGGCAUAGUUUAUGGUUAAGACUACGACGGUAUCUGAUCGUCUUCGAUCCCCCUAACUUUCGUUCUUGAUUAAUGAAAACAUCCUUGGCAAAUGCUUUCGCAGUAGUUAGUCUUCAAUAAAUCCAAGAAUUUCACCUCUGACAAUUGAAUACUAAUGCCCCCAACUAUCCCUAUUAAUCAUUACGUCAAUCCUAGAAACCAACAAAAUAGGAUCAACGUCCUAUUUCAUUAUUCCAUGCUAAUGUAUUCAAGCGUGAGCCUGCUUUAAACACUCUAAUUUUUCAAAGUAACAGUCCUGAUUUCCACACACUAAAUUAAUAGCAUGAUGGUUCGUCAGAGGGAGGAACCAGUGACGCCAGUACAUACCGGAGGCACGACCGACAUACUGAUUCCGAAAUUCAACUACGAGCUUUUAACUGCAACAACUUUAAUAUACGCUAUUGGAGCUGGAAUUACCGCGGCUGCU